rnacentral:rRNA from 1 species
GACGAACGCUGGCGGCGUGCCUAAUACAUGCAAGUUGAGCGAUGAAGAUUGGUGCUUGCACCAAUUUGAAGAGCAGCGAACGGGUGAGUAACGCGUGGGGAAUCUGCCUUUGAGCGGGGGACAACAUUUGGAAACGAAUGCUAAUACCGCAUAAUAACUUUAAACAUAAGUUUUAAGUUUGAAAGAUGCAAUUGCAUCACUCAAAGAUGAUCCCGCGUUGUAUUAGCUAGUUGGUGAGGUAAAGGCUCACCAAGGCGAUGAUACAUAGCCGACCUGAGAGGGUGAUCGGCCACAUUGGGACUGAGACACGGCCCAAACUCCUACGGGAGGUAGCAGUAGGGAAUCUUCGGCAAUGGACGAAAGUCUGACCGAGCAACGCCGCGUGAGUGAAGAAGGUUUUCGGAUCGUAAAACUCUGUUGGUAGAGAAGAACGUUGGUGAGAGUGGAAAGCUCAUCAAGUGACGGUAACUACCCAGAAAGGGACGGCUAACUACGUG